rnacentral:rRNA from 1 species
UACGGGAGGCAGCAGUGGGGAAUAUUGCACAAUGGGCGCAAGCCUGAUGCAGCCAUGCCGCGGUGUAUGAAGAAGGCCGUUCGGGUUGUAAAGUACUUUCAGCAGUGAGGAAGGUGGGUAUGUUAAUAGCAUAUUCAUUUGACGUUAGCUGCAGAAGAAGCACCGGCUAACUCCGUGCCAGCAGCCGCGGUAAUACGGAGGGUGCGAGCGUUAAUCGGAAUUACUGGGCGUAAAGCGCAUGCAGGUGGUUUGUUAAGUCAGAUGUGAAAGCCCGGGGCUCAACCUCGGAAUUGCAUUUGAAACUGGCAAACUAGAGUACUGUAGAGGGGGUAGAAUUUCAGGUGUAGCGGUGAAAUGCGUAGAGAUCUGAAGGAAUACCGGUGGCGAAGGCGGCCCCCUGGACAGAUACUGACACUCAGAUGCGAAAGCGUGGGGAGCAAACAGGAUUAGAUACCCUGGUAG